rnacentral:rRNA from 1 species
AAUGUGAAAGGUACCGGCCUAACCGGUAGAGUGCAUUUGAAACUGUAUAUCUUGAGUACAGCAGAGGAGAACGGAAUUCCUGGAGUAGCGGUGGAAUGCGUAGAUAUCAGGAAGAACACCAGUGGCGAAGGCGGUUCUCUGGGCUGUAACUGACGCUGAGGUACGAAAGCUGGGGCAGCGAACGGGAUUAGAUACCCCGGUAGUCCCAGCCGUAAACGAUGGACACUAGGUGUUGGGGGUUCGAUUCCCUCAGUGCCGCAGUUAACGCAUUAAGUGUCCCGCCUGGGGAUUACGGUCGCAAGACUGAAACUCAAAGGAAUUGACGGGGGCCCGCACAAGCGGUGGAGCAUGUGGUUUAAUUCGAUGCAACGCGAAGAACCUUACCGAAGCUUGACAUCCUGUGACUACCUGUGAAAGCAGGGUCUUGGACUUUGUUCAACACAGAGACAGGUGGUGCAUGGCUGUCGUCAGCUCGUGUCGUGAGAUGUUGGGUUAAGUCCCGCAACGAGCGCAACCCUUGUACCUAGUUGCCAGCAAGUAAUGUUGGGGACUCUAGGUAGACUGCCGGUGAAAGUCGGAGGAAGGUGGGGAUGACGUCAAGUCCUCAUGCCCUUUAUGCUUCGGGCUACACACGUGCUACAAUGGUCAAUUCAGAAGGCAGCGAGACCGCGAGGUCAAGCUAACCCUCAAAGUUGAUCAUAGUUCGGGUUGCAGG